UGCAGCAAUAAGAAUUAAGAUAGGGAAUGAUAUUGCUAGUUUCUGUCGCUUUGUAGUACACAUUACAAUAUACGCAAAGGGAGUAGCAUUAAUAGGUUAGCCAUUUGCUGUAUUAUAUUGUAUGAUGGCGUGGGUGGGUUAUAACUUCGGGAAGGUGUGAACGAUGACCAGAUAGCGGUGCAGAGUGCAUGGCUUGGGCACAGAGCUCCCCCGCGAGCAGAAGGAAGGAUAUCACCGCAACCAAGCAACAAUGGCUCACACGUCCCCCGAUAGCAGGACUCACAAAUAGACUUCCUGACGUUUUCUCUUGUGCUCUGGAGCACUUCCUGUUCUCUCAAGGACCGUGCACAGUCCCUCUCUCCUCCUGAGAGCAGAAAAUAGCUUGUAGAAAAUAAUAAGAAACAAUAAGAAUGCCCUUCCCACUCUCUCUGUCUGUCUGGAUCACCACACGCAGUCCUCCGUGUAAUGCAGUGGAUUUAACAUCUAACUAUGGCCAGCGCUUCAAACGUCAGCAAUGAAGUCCUGCUGUAACUUUUCAUUGCUAUCUCGAUUUAUAAAGCUAUGAUCUACUUAUUUUUAAACACACACACACGCACGCACAAAUUAUAAUUAUAGCAAAAAUAGUAGUAAGUAAGAAUAUUGAUGAGUUUGUGUGAGACAAAGGGGAAACUCAAUGUUCACAAAAUUCUGAAAGAAUCUAUGGGGGACAGAAGCAAGAAAGUUCUCAUACAGUACUUAAAAGCAACGGGGCUGAUCAAUCGAAUUUUAUGUUUAUUUAUUUAUUUAUUUAUUGUUUUUGCACUCCAGAUCAGUGGGUGGCGGCAAUGCACACUUUGCGGCAUUUAAAACAGCUUUUAAAAAAUCCAAAGAAGAAAAAAGAAGUAGUUUGGGGUGGGCGGAGUGAAGCAGACAUUGUAUUUCGAGUUGUAGUUCUGAUGGGGGAGAUUUAAAUAUUUUCCUUGCUUUUUAAUACAGUGCCUUUCAAAACUUUUCGACAGCUAUACAUUUAGUGUGCAUAUAUGACGAAGAGGAGAGCGGAAGACGCCUUGUUCUGCGACGCUCCCUUGAAAAGAUGUGCUCGUUCGCUGUACAGGAUUGAUGCGCAGUCGCCAGGCAUGGCUGUAGCCUUUGGAGCUAACGUGAACCCAGCGUCGCUGCCCAGUUUGGCAGAGAGCUGCAGGAAGAGAGCGUUUUGUUCCGAUGAACAGGAAUUAACUGAAGUUGCGAGACCGCGAAAGAAGUCGACCACGGACCGUGAUAACCGAACUGCAGAGACGCACGUGUCAGGGAAAUACAACAUUGUUAGCUUAAAGCAUUCUGGAAGUUUCUUUGAAGAAGAGAACAAGCAAUCAGAGAUUUCUGUUUUAAAUUCACCUGGUAGUUUUUCAAAGAAAAGAAUGAGAGACGAUAGCGUCGGAUCUGAAAAUGUAUUACAACAGCCCGAUAAGGGGACGCUGACGGAUGAUGACCAUUGCACUUUUAAUUCAUUCCAGUACUGGAGGGUUCCUCUGCCCGAGGUAGACCUCUCUCUUCUGCAGACUAACGGUGACGCGGAAGAACUCUCUCAACAGCCUGUCAAAGACUCGUCGGUGUUGUCAGAAACCGACGCCAUGGAGACGUGAAGUCGAAUUUCUGGUUGUAGCCAAUAAAAGAUUUUGUAAAUGCAGAUGCUUUAUGUAUUAGUUUUCUUUUUUAAAAAGAAAUAAUCCAGACUUGCCGCUUUGGUAUUUAUGGUACCGUCACGCCUUACUUAAAUAGAUAGUUGAAGUAUGGGCGUUCAGUGGUAGCCAGUGUAUUUUCCCGUAUUAUGUAGUGACGUCUAUUUUACAUUCCAUUGUUGCCGAGCUUUUUUUCACUUGAUUUCAGUGUUGGUUCAUUCCUGCAGCAUUACAUUUAUUUUACUGUUUUGUGUAGGAAACAUGUUACAUGCAGUAUAAUUUGCAGUUACUCUUACAUAAUGAGUGUACAAUGUGCUUUUGAGGAAUCUCAAUAAAUACGCCAUAUCAAUCUCA